GCUCUGUCCUCAGGAAAUUCUUCGUUCAUUGGAUUUAUUCACAAAUUUUACCUCAUAAAUGUUAAUAAACAAUCUUUAAUGAAACGAGCUUCAGUAUUUAUUUGGUACCUACUAUGGACUGGGCAUCAUACAGGAAGGGCGAGGAGGCAUAGGGAUGUAAUGGGAAGAGAAAAGAUGCAAGAUCUACUCCUUGUCCUUGAAGAAUUACAAUCUCUACUGAAGACCCCAUCUGUAUGCACAUUGAUUUUGGAAGCAGUGGAAAUAACUCACGUAUAACCUCCCUAAUGGCAAGAUAUGAAAUGGAGAUAUUUUGCUAGGAGGUGGUUAAGAUUUUUGGCAGCUAGUGGGCAAUAUGAUUCUUCAGAGGAAGGAGAGGAAGCAUUGGCUGGCACAACCAGAAAAAGCUUCAUGGAGAGAGUGGAAUCUGAAUUGGCCCUGAUGGGUAGAGGGUGCUCACCUGUGUACAGCUGGCAGCAGGAAGGAUGCACUUGGAGCAUGCGCCAAUGAUCAACAGCAGGAAAGAACAGAAUGCAAGCUCCCACAUGUCUGAGCCAUCUCAUCUAACCUGCCUAAACCAUCUCCAUAAUGCUUUCUGUCCCCACGUUGCCCUUAUUUUCAACCAUGCCCACAUGAGUCUCCUUGGCACGCAUGAAGCCUUCAUGAAAGGCACCCUCACUGUUCUUGAAUUGUAACAGGGUGGUCCCCAGGAAAGGGGGAGGUUCCAGGUUCCCUGCCCCACCCAAAGGAAGGUGUAGCUGAGCAGGGAGAGAAGCUGCUGCAGAGGAGACUAAGGAAGGAAGGAAGAAGGAUGGAGAACCAGAAGGAGACCUGGAGGAGGCACAUGGAGCCGAGAUACAUGUGAAGAAACUGCACUUGCCUUUUGGUCAUCGACUGGGUGACACAGAUGUGGAUAAUACAAGGAGUUCAACACAGCCAUCUGAUGCUGGAAAGGAACUGGCUUGCCUUCACUUGGUUGAAUUUGGACUUACAGUACGUAUUUGCAAAUGAUGCAGAAUCCCAAAGAUUUAAGCCUGGUACUCAGACUAGCUGAUGAUCUACAUUCUCAGUGACAUCCACCUCUGAGCUUGGGAACCAGGAUUGCUGUUAUCAACAUUUGGAUUUUAACAAGAUCCCAGGUAUCAACCCUUCAUGGAGGGUGACCUCCUCUCUGGGAGUAAAGACGAUUGCAAGCCAGAAGCAACGCCGUUGUCAGUGUCAGUGGACUGGCUUACAGAUAUUGCUGGGCAUAAAGGUGAUGGUCCAAACUGCAGCGACCACGGAGGGAGGUGGCCUGAGGCAUGACAGAACGUGGACAAGGGUGGAGCAGUAAGAGGGGAGGAACUGGUACCACUCAUGGGGUUGGCACUGCCAGAUCCCAGCACCUCUGGGACUCACCUACUUGUGCUCAUUUCAUAGAAGAAAUGUAGUUACAUUGCAGUUCAAAUCAUCCUAAUUCAUAUACUCAGGGAUAUUUACACAUAUUUUCAUUUCCCCUGCGACCUAACAACUGGU